rnacentral:lncRNA from 1 species
CAAACAUCAUUCGAAAUAUCUAAAGUCGAGUAAAAUGAGACAAUUAAAAUAUUUAAUCUCAAUAUGUAUUUCAUAAUAUAAAUAUUCAUUUCAUUUAAAUAUUCAUCAUGGCUUAUGAGUAUCUUAAAAGCUUAGCUCCUGCCAAAAUCAUUCUCGGGGAUACCUUGGCCGAGGUAUCUAACCGAGUCCACCAAUGUUGUUAAAAAGUUCGUAUACACGUAAACAUAUUUUUAGUUUGAAAAACAUAGCCAUUCCUUGGCGUUAGCGGAGUUCAUCAUCACGAGGUGGUUUGGCGUGACGUGAACUCUGUCCAUACCUCAGGAGAUACCCUACAUGCCUCUCCGACCGAGGUACAUAUAUAUAUAUCCGGAUUCUGUGCCCCUCUAAUAGGCUAGUCCACAGAAUCCACUUACUGCAGCAAGCUAAACCCACCAUACAAUAAAAUUUUGACAGCAUGACAAGGCUAAUAUUUUACUACCCAGCCUGCAAAGGUAAAAUAAAAUAAUUCAUACAAUUCAUAAAACACAGUCCAACUGGUCAUGCCAACACAAUAACAAUAUAACAUAAGCCAUCAAUUUCCAAUCAUAAAUUUGCAACAUACCGGUGGUCUCCAAUUACUCUAUUUUCAAAAUCGUUAUUCAAUUUCAAGACAAUUUAUAAAAAUCUUUUCAGGUAAACACAUUCUGUUUGUAAAACACAAAAAUUUACCUUUUAAACUCAUUUUCAUAAAAUUUAACCAAAACCGAUUAAAAACAUACUUUAGAUAAUUAAAAUGAUGGUAAGGUUACUCACUAUUUCGGGAGUCGAAUUUUUAGAAUACUCUGACUACCGAUCCUCAAGUACAAUUUCCUUGCCUUUAUCGGAGGAUUCACCACCUAGACAUAGUACAAAAUCGAGAAACUUACUACAUUGGUACUAAAUAGAAAUUAAACUAAUUUAAACUACUAAUGCAUGAUAUGGAAUGAAAAAAUGUCCAAAUAGCCAUUUAAAUACGGUAUUCGACCUAAUUUGCACUAUUCUCGGUGUAAUUGGCUAAAACCUCCAAUUUAACUCCAAAUCGAUUUUUUUCACUUUCUACACUCCAAUUAUACUUAAAAUACCUCAAUGAUUGUGAAUAUGAUUCAAUUUAUCAGUUUGAAUCAUAAAUCGCACAUGUCUAUACAUUAGGUAAAAAUUCAAAUUUUCAUGCUAAAAUUUUCCAUUAAAUUUCUAGCCUCACCAAUCAUUAAAUACCAUCCAAAUAUCAUGAAAUAUCAUCAAUUUCAGCCUCAAUAUCCUCCCUAGAAAAUUCGGCCUCUUAUGGGUAAUGGGAGAAAAUGAUUUUUUUUCUUGUUGUUUUGUUUUUAAAUAUGCUAAACUAACCAAAAACACUAACAUAACUUAGAAUCAAAUCAAUCCAACUUCAUUCUCUCUCCAUACCCAUUUGGUUAGCCAUGAAUUCACCAUGAAAACCUGAGUUCUAAGCAUGGAAAAUGAAAAAGAAAGCAUGGGUAGUGUAAAUCACAAGAUAAAAUCACAAAAUUUUACCUUUAUUAGCUUAAUCUCUUGAAAUCCCACACUUUUUCUUCAAUUUUCCCACCUAGGUUUUGUUCUUUCUUUGUUUUUCUUCACUUCAUGCUUUGGCCGGCCAUUAUGAAGAAAAUAGGCUGAUUUUUGUUGAUUUUAAAGCUAAAAAAAUAAAUGGAUAUUAACAGGCCAUGUGUCACCAUUUCAUUGGCCCAUUUUUAUUUCUUAAUUAUUAAGCUUUCUCUCUCCACCAUAUAAAUCCCUUCAAUUAUCCAUUAUAAAAUUGGGUAAAAUCUAUGUGCUGGACAAGUGUCAGGUGUGUAAAAUUACAAUUGUGCCCCUAAAAUGGUAAAAUUACCAUUUUACCCUUAUGCUCCAAAAAAUACCAGGAUCACAAUUUUUUUCACUUGUCAACGUCAAAUCAUACUCCUAUACUCAAAUUAUACUCCAAUAAGUCAAAUGGGGCAAAAAAAAUCUUUUUUAAAAUUCUCAUUUUGUCCCUAGGUGGCAAAUGACCAUUUUACCCCUGAAUAGUGAAAAUUCUGGUUUGAUUCCAAAUUGAUCCUUAAACUCUGAAUUACCAUUUUGAGUCAUCCAUGGACUAUGAAGCUCUUAAUCUCACCUUAAAAUUCUUAUUUGAUCUAGUUCGAGGCUUAAAUCAACUUUGUUGUACCUCUAGGUACAAUACCUACUUUUGUAAAUUUUUAGAGACCCUCAUAGCAUGCAAUCAUGCUAUCAUCACAUGUAUGUCAUGACAAGCAUUUUAUAAGGUCAGGCUUUACAGUACUACCCCCCUUAAAAAUAAAAUUUUGACCUCAAAAUUUCACUUACCGGAUUCCAAGAAAAGAUGUGGAUAUUGGUUUCUCAUCUAGCGCUCGACUUCCCACGUCAUUUCUUCCAUUCGAGCAUUUUUCCACAAUACUUUCACCAUUGGAAUACUCUUAUUCCUUUGCACUCGAUCCUUUCGAUCUAGAAUACGUACAAGCUGCACCUUGAACUUCAAAUCUUCAUGCAACUCAAUGGGAGGUGUCUCUAGAAUGUGAGAGGGAUCGGGAACAUACUUUUUCAACAUCGAGACAUGGAAGACAUUUUAAAUCCGAUCUAACUCCAGGGGUAAUUCAAGUCUGUAAGCCACUGGCCCAAUCCUUUCAAUGAUACGAAAGGGUCCAAUGUAUCUCGGAUUGAGCUUUCCCCGCUUCACGAAUCGAAUCACAAUAAAUACCAUAAAUUAUCACAAUAGUAUAAUCAAAUAAGAUUUAAUACUUGGAAUUUUCAAAUUAUUACCUUUCCAAGGAGAAACCUUAAGAAAAACUUUAUCGUCAACUUCAAACUCCAAAUCUUUCCUUCGUCUAUCAAAAUAAUUCUUCUGCCUAUCUUGAGUUGUCUUUAACCGCUCUCGGAUAACCUUGACCUUGUCAUUUGUUAGAUCAAUCAAUUCCACAUUAAACAAUUUCCUCUCACCCACUUUAUCCUAAUAAAGUAGAGUUCGACACUUUCUUCCAUACAAAGCCUCGUAUGGAGCCAUCCUAAUACUAGACUGAAAACUGUUAUUAUAGCGAACUCCACCAAUGGCAAGUGUCUGUCUCAACUCCCAAUGAAGUCAAUGACACAAGCCCGUAACAUAUCCUCCAAGGUUUGAAUAGUCCUUUCAAAUUGACCAUCAGUUUACGGAUGAAAGGCAGUACUAAAUCUCAAUUUAGUUUCGAGAGCUUCCUAAAAUUUUGACCAAAAUCAAGAAGUAAAUCGAGGGUCUUGAUCUGACAUAAUAGAAACUGAAACUCCAUGUAAUCUCACAAUUUCAUCUAUAUAAAGUUUUACCAGUUUCUCAAUAGAAUACGUGCUAUGGAUAGCCAAGAAAUGGGUGGACUUAGUCAAUCUAUCAACAAUCACCCAAAUAGCAUCCUUCCCACUUUGUGUCCGCGAUAAACCCAAUACAAAGUCCAUAGUCACGUGUUCCCACUUUCAUUCAAGAAUCGGUAAAAGUUGAAGAGUACUUGAUGGUUUUUGAUGCUCUGCCUUAAUCUGUUGGCAUGUGAGACAUUUUACUACAAACUCUGCUAUGUAUCGUUUCACACCCGACCACCAAUAACUUUCUUUAAUAGUCCGAUACAUCUUGGUGCUUCCGGGAUGUAAAGCAUAGGCGGAAGAAUAAGCUUCCUCCAAAAUAGCUCGUCUCAACUGAUCAUCCUUAGGGACAUAAAUCCGGUCUCUAAACAUCAAGGUACCAUUAUCACUGAGUCUAAAUUCACUAGUUUCUCUAUUUUGCAGCUUUUGAACUUCCUAUUUCAACCAAUCAUCAGAUUUAUACAAUUCUCUGAUUUGAUUCAACAAUGAAGGUCUCACAACAAAACUAGCAAGUAGGGUUCCAUCCUCACCAUUAUUCAACUGGAUCCCUAGAGACUUCAUCUCAAGUAACAUCGAAAAAUAAGAACUCCGAAGUAUAGCUAAUGAAGAUGAGGAUUUACGACUUAAAGCAUUCGCUACAACAUUUGCCUUCCCCGGAUGAUAAUCAAUCACCAAGUCGUAAUCCUUAAUCAACUCCAGCCACUGUCUUUGUUUCAAAUUAAGUUCUUUAUGGGUGAGCAAAUAUUUCAAACUUUUAUGAUCAGUAAAAAUCUGACAAUGCUCACCAUAUAAAUAAUGUCUGCAAAUCUUCAAUGCGAAUACUACUGUUGCCAACUCCAGGUCAUGAGUACAAUAAUUUGUCUCAUGCUUCUUCAACUGUCUAGAAGCAUAAGCUAUUACUUUGUUAUCCUGCAUUAAUACACACCCUAAUCCCAACUUAGAUGCAUCACUGUAUACCACAAAUUCUUUUUCAUUAACAGGAAGUGUUAAAACGAGAGCAGAGGUCAAUCGGUUCUUUAGCUCCUGAAAUCGAUUCUCACAAACAUUAUCCCACUCAAACUUAACUCUUUUAUGAGUCAAACGAGUCAGAGGAGCUGCUAUCAAAGAAAAUCCCUGAACAAAUCUCUGAUAAUAGUCGGCUAAGCCAAGGAAACUGCGAAUCUCAAUUACCGUUCUCGGUUGCUCCCAUUGUAAGAUUGCCUCAAUCUUCUUGGGAUCGACAUAAAUUUCAGCUCUGGACACCACAUGUCCCAAGAAAAUCACUUCCUUUAACCAGAACUCACAUUUAGAGAACUUGGCAUAGAGUUAUCUCUCGAGCAAAGUUUGCAACACAAUGUGCAAAUGGGUAGCAUGUUCAUCAUCAUUCUUCGAGUAAACCAAGAUGUCAUCUAUGAACACUAUCACAAACUUAUCUAAAUAUGGAUGGAACACCCUGUUGAUAAGAUCCAUUAAAGCUGCCGGGGCAUUAGUCAAACCAAACGGCAUCACUAGAAACUCAUAAUGCCCAUAACGCGUCCUAAAAGUAGUCUUGGGUACAUCCUGCUCCUUAAUCUUCAACUGAUAAUACCCAGACCUCAAAUCAAUAUUUGAAAAUACCAUAGCACCUCGUAAUUGAUCAAAAAUAUCAUCGAUCCGAGGUAGAGGGUAUUUAUUCUUGAUGGUCACUCAGUUCAGCUGACGGUAAUCGAUACACAAUCGAAGAGUGUCAUCUUUCUUCUUUACAAAUAUGAUCGGUGCUCCCCAAAGAGAAAUGCUAAGGCGAAUGAAACCUUUAUCCACCAAAUCUUGCAACUAGACUUUUAGUUCCUUUAACUCUGCCGGAGCCAUUCUAUAUGGAGGGAUAGAAAUAGGUGCAGUACCAGAAAGUAAAUCAAUAGGGAACUCAAGCUCUCGAUCAGGAGGUAGUCCUGGUAACUCAUCAAGAAAUACAUCAGAAAACUCAUUUACUAUUGGGACAUCCUCUAAUUUAGGUUCCCCUUUUGAAAUAUCAAUCACGUGAGCCAAAUAAGCCAGAUACCCUUUCUACACUAAUUUUAAUGCUUUGAUGGCCGAGAUUACACAAGACGGUAAUACUCAACGUUUCCCUGCAAAAACAAUCUCUGCUCCUUUCAAAUUUUGAAGAACAACCUCUUUUCUAAAACAAUCCACAUUCGCCUGAUGUGCAGUUAACCAGACCAUACCCAAUAUCAAAUCAAAAUCUUGGAUCUCUAGAGGAAUCAAGUCACCCCUAAAUUCUUCCUCACCAACCAUUACUCCACAAUCUGCCUUGGUGGUAACCCAUAAGGAUUUCUCCUCUGCAUAUCCGUACGAGUUGAUGGAGAUGGAGCAAUUGCAGUAACCCGUCUUAGCUGUGGGCACUCACUCUUAAUGUGGCCCGACUGAUCACAAUGAUAACAUCGUACUGGUCCCCUACACGGCCCAACAUGAUUCUUCCCACAUCUCCUGCAUCUAUCAAAACCUCCGAAACUCUUCCAAGAAGUAGUCAUCGCAGAUCUGUUAAAUCUCUGAGGCCUCUGCUAUGUCUGUGAAAAUGGAGGUCGAGGAGAUGUCACUGAAACAGAGGUAGUGCUCCCUGAAGCAUAUGAGUCUUUGCCCUUUUUUGGUGGCUAAUUGGAAGAUACACUCGGAUUUCUCUUUUUUGCAAACUCGGUCCAAAUCUUCCUAUUCUUAAUCACGAGCUUCUCAGCCUGUAAAGCCAUCUGUACGACCUUCUUAUGUGGUUCCCUACUAGUCACUGUCAUCCACUCUCUAAUCUCAUUACGGAGCCCUUCCUCGAAAUAAUUGAUCUGAUUCUACUAAGAUUUCACCAGAUCCGGCACAUAUAACAUCAGCUCGUCAAAACGAGCUUCGUACUCCUCUACAGUUAAAUUCUCUUGUUUCAAACUCAGAAAUUCUCUUUUCUUUUCUUUAUGAUGGAAAUAAGUGAAAUACUGACCAUCAAAUUCUCUUAGGAAGUCUGACCAGAUCGGAGGAGUAGUGGAACGAGAUUUUACUGAAUUUCACCAUGUGCGAGCUCUCUUCUCUAAUAAUUUCAUGGCCACUAUCAAUUUCAGGUCAUCAUCCAACCUCAUAUCAGAGAACGUCUCUGAAACCUGAUUAAUCCAAUCUUUGGCUACGGUUGGAUUUAACUCACCCGUAAAAGAAACACAACCAAGUUGCCUAGCUUCCUUCCACUUCUUAGCAAUAGAGACAUCCGGCACUAGUGGUGGAACAGGAGGUGGGGGUGGUGGUACUGAAGGAGUAACUGGUGGUACUAUAGGAGGGGCCUAACUAGCUUGAGCGUGGCCAACAAUAGCGGUAAAAAAAGCUACCAAUGCUUGAACAGCCUUAGGAGACAUGGCAGAAGUACCAGUAGGUGGCGGACGAUGUAGAGGAUGUGGAGAAUGUGGAGGAGUCUUGGCCUGCUCAGCAGCAGGUGCUGCUCGAAUGGUGGAUGCAGCCGAUUCCUCCUUUACUACAUCUAGCUGACGACGUUGGGAACGACCUCUUCCUCUCCCAACCGAUCUAGUGAGAGGUAGGCGUCCGUGUCGAGGAGGCAUGGAAAUCUAUACAAGGAAAUAAGGCAAAUUUAAUCAACCUUAGACUCUAUAUGCAGAUGCAUGCAUUCUAUUCAACCUAACCUAACUUAACCCGAGGCCACACUGACAUUGUAAAUUUUUAAAAUAACUUUAAAACUAAAAACUCUGAUCUUUAAAACCAAAUGCUCUGAUACCAAUCGAAUUGUCACGACUCGGUACUCCCCUCGAGCCCUUAACAACCACCGCGGUAUCCCGAUAGACACUCAUUACCCGAAAUAUCAACCUGAAACCCCGCAAGGCUUUAAUAUCAGUUUCUCAUUUCCCUUGUAAGCAACCAUUGUCAAAUAUCGUGUUCUAAAAGAUUUUAAGCUGUUUUCAACUUAAAACAAAUAAAAUAUUAAUUUUCGUCUCACAGAGGUAUUUUGGUCAUUUUUUCAAAAAUUUCGAAACCAGCCAAUAAUGUAGUAUAUAAGUGCAGAACACAUAUUUCAAAAGUAAAAAUAAAUUUAGAUGUCUAAAACAUUCGUUUAAAACGAAAUUAUGAUUAUUUGGGUAUAAUAAGAAAAUAAAAUAAAUAUUAAGUAAAAUAUUCUAUUUUCUUAUUAAACAAUAUUUUCAGAGUUAUACGUAGAUAAUUUUUGUAGCGUAAAAGCAAAGUAAAUUCAUACAUACUGUAAUACAAUAAACCAGAGUAUUUAAUUUAAUUUACAAUGACCAAUGGGCCCCCGAAUAAUCAAAAGUAAAGAGGACUGUGUACCUACAGUUUGAAGGAAUGCAAAUCCAAGGGUAGUCCUCGAUGAACUCAACUAUCUAUAGCCUAAUCUGAACCUAAAAUGGGUGAAAAGGAGAGUGGUGAGAUUUUAUAAUCACAGUGAGUAAACAAACAUCAUCCAAAAUAUCUAAAGUUGAGUAAGAGGAGACAAUUAAAAUAUUUAAUCUCAAUAUGUAUUUCAUAACAUAAAUAUUCAACAUGGCUUAUGAGUAUCUUAAAAGCUUGGCUCCUAUCAAAAUUAUUCUCGGGGAUACUUUGGCCGAGGCAUCUAACCGAGUCCGCCAAGGCUGUUAAAAAGUUCGUAUACACGUAAACAUAUUUUUAGUUUGAAAAACAUAG